rnacentral:rRNA from 1 species
GAUGAACGCUGGCGGCGUGCCUAAUACAUGCAAGUCGAGCGAACAGACGAGGAGUUUGCUCCUCUGACGUUAGCGGCGGACGGGUGAGUAACACGUGGAUAACCUACCUAUAAGACUGGGAUAACUUCGGGAAACCGGAGCUAAUACCGGAUAACAUGUUGAACCGCAUGGUUCAACAGUGAAAGACGGUCUUGCUGUCACUUAUAGAUGGAUCCGCGCCGCAUUAGCUAGUUGGUAAGGUAACGGCUUACCAAGGCAACGAUGCGUAGCCGACCUGAGAGGGUGAUCAGCCACACUGGAACUGAGACACGGUCCAGACUCCUACGGGAGGCAGCAGUAGGGAAUCUUCCGCAAUGGGCGAAAGCCUGACGGAGCAACGCCGCGUGAGUGAUGAAGGUCUUCGGAUCGUAAAACUCUGUUAUUAGGGAAGAACGAAAGUGUGAGUAACUAUGCACGUCUUGACGGUACCUAAACAAAAAGCCACGGCUAACUACGUG